rnacentral:misc_RNA from 1 species
AAGAGUGUAAAAACUCCCAAACCCAUGUGAACCUACCACUGUUGCCUCGGUGGGCUGUCCUGCGCGGCCUGCCGACGGACUUCAAAAACUCUUUUUCAUUUAUGAAUCUCUGAGUACAACUUUUAAAUAAGUAA